CACGUAGGGCGCAAGCGUUGUCCGGAAUUAUUGGGCGUAAAGAGCUCGUAGGCGGUCUGUUGCGUCCGCUGUGAAAACUCGGGGCUUAACCCCGAGCCUGCAGUGGAUACGGGCAGACUAGAGUGCGGUAGGGGAGACUGGAAUUCCUGGUGUAGCGGUGAAAUGCGCAGAUAUCAGGAGGAACACCGGUGGCGAAGGCGGGUCUCUGGGCCGAAACUGACGCUGAGGAGCGAAAGCGUGGGGAGCGAACAGG
rnacentral:rRNA from 1 species